rnacentral:rRNA from 1 species
GACGAACGCUGGCGGCGUGCUUAACACAUGCAAGUCGAGCGGUAAGGCCCUUUCGGGGGUACACGAGCGGUGAACGGGUGAGUAACACGUGGGUGACCUGCCUCUAGCUCUGGGAUAAGCCCGGGAAACUGGGUCUAAUACUGGAUAUGACUCCACGGUGCAUGUCGUGGGGUGGAAAGCCUUGUGCGGCUGAGGAUGGGCCCGCGGCCUAUCAGCUUGUUGGUGGGGUGAUGGCCUACCAAGGCGACGACGGGUAGCCGGCCUGAGAGGGCGACCGGCCACACUGGGACUGAGACACGGCCCAGACUCCUACGGGAGGCAGCAGUGGGGAAUCUUGCGCAAUGGGCGAAAGCCUGACGCAGCGACGCCGCGUGAGGGAUGACGGCCU